UUGACAGGUGUGCGGGAAAUCACGUGACCCUGAAACGUAUGGUUACUGUUUAUACGGUCGUACGACCGAAAUUGGUCUUAGCUGCGACUGAGGGCAUACGACAGUGUUUAUAAAACGGUCAUGUGGAAAUCGUAAGCUCGGUCGUAAGUAUCGGUCGUAAGAUAAGAUCGCAGUUACGACCGUAUUUGUUGAUAAAACGGUGUCGUUUUAUCAACGGUCGUACGCCCGGUCGUACCACCGAUCUUACGGCUACGUCGCGUUUUAUCAACAUGCUCGUAGCUAAGACGUCGUAGAUUUACGUCGUAACUUUAAGGCUGCUUCAGACCAGUCGUAAGUAGGCUAAAGAUCUUAAAAAUGGCGGCCAUUUUUGCAUAAUACCCGAUAGGAACUUUCAAACACAAAUAUUUGAACAAUUGAAGUUUUCAACUAACGUAUGUUUUCCGCGUACAUGUUUAUGUACAGUGCUGAUCCUAUUUUAACAUCCCAGGGACGCAUCUAUCACUUCCAGUUUAAUCUCUGGAUAAUUUCCACGAAGAAGCUAUGACCUUUCAAUGAAGUUGCUACAGUAUCUAGGUGAAAGACAUGUGUUAAUAAUGUGAAAUCAACAUGGCAACAUUAUGUUAACCUACAGUACGUACAGUGCUGUAAUGGGAAUGCAAAUGAAACUGGAGCACUGUUGUCUGGUAAAGCAUGUACAUGAAUGCGAAAUGAGCAUCUUUAGAUCCAAUUUGGUGCAUCACAUGAAAAGAGGAUUGUAAACAAAGGACAAGUAAUGAGUUUGAAAUAUAGACAGUUUUAGUGUUCACUUCACCCCUCUUUCUAUGGAAUCUGAUAAAAGUACUACACCUCCCUUUUUGGUUAUAUGUUGUUAUGUGCUUUACACAAAUUAAGGUGGGACAUGUGAAAUGCAAUCAAUUAUGGUGAUUAAAAUAUUCAUUGUUUUAACACAUUUCUUGUUAUAUAAUAAUUAUGAACCAAAUCAAAAUAUUGUAGAGAUAUUACUUUUCCCCUAAUAUAUUUAUAUGGUAUUAAUGAUAAUCAGUUAAGUACUUUAUAUUUUUUUCUAAAAUAUAAUUAUCACAUUAAAACUUCAAAAUAAGUUUGACUAUUUAAAAUAACUUAUUUUGUAUUAGUCAUUUAAAGUGGGUGACCUACUAUCUUAGAUAUGAGAUAUCUCUUUCACCCUUCAUUUGUUCUAACAUUGAUACUGGGAAAUACAUGUAUGUCCCAGUUUGACAGUACAUUGAUAGUUAUGUUGAAAAUCACACAUAAUAUUUUUUAUCAACAAUUAUAUAGCAGAUUUUUCUUUAUUUUUGUGUCACAUUGAUACUUUAAAUUGUCUUUCAUGUAUAAAUGUUUCAGAAAAUGGUGUAAUAUAUUGAAGUUCCAUGUUGCAAGUUAACAUGUCAGGGUUAAAAAUAUUGAAAAUUGCCUUGAGUUUAAACAUUUAACAAAAAAAAAAUACUAAAAGAAGAAAAUUAACAGACAAAAGGUUUAUUUGUUGUUGAAAUAUUUAUUCUAGAAAUAAUCAGGGAUGAUGGGUGAAGUGUCUUACUGAUUUUGGGGUGUGAAGUGUCUUCAGAAGUUAAUUGUCUUGUUUACACAUUUAAACAAAUACUAUUGUAUUGUAUAUUGUAGUAAUGUUAGAUUUGUAGGAAUCAUUUUAACAUUUACUCAUAGGUAUGUAGAUAUUAUCCUAGUAGGCUUCUUUUCAGGUAUUACUUAAUUUUUGUUUAUACAUGUACAAGCUAUAUAGAGUCUAUGAAAUUGUAGCUGAAUUUUUAUCUGAUUUUCCUUACAGAUAUAAGGCAGCAUGAAUAGUUAGUACUUGGUGAAUCUGCUGAUCAAUGUGUUUGUCAAAGAGGACAUUAACAAUGAUGAGGCUGUAUAUCACCAGGAUUACUGCUGAAUGAUGGAAGGUUUACAGCUAUACAAUCUUAUGAUUGGAAUCAAUAGCCAGGGACAGCUCUCCCUUACAGGGUCCAAGUGUUGUGACCUUAUUAUAUGGCCAACAAAGGGCAUAUAAGUCCUAAAGAUAGUUAAGAAUAAAGUUAUAUAGACUAUCAAACAUUUCAUCAAUUUACCAAUUUUUUUUUAUCUGUAAGAUAAGGUACAUUAUGUAUAAUUUAAAACAUUCCAUAAUAACUUUGUUUCUACAUGCACAUGAAUAAAAAUAACACUUAAGUAUGGUCACAAAGGGACCGUCAGUAAUCUACAAUUAUUACCCUGAAUGCAUGUAAGAAGCUCUAUGUGAAUGCUUUUAAUGAUUAAUGAAAACAUAUACAUAGGUUAAGGUCUUUAAGUUGUUUUUUAAUAUAUACUUUGGAUGGUACAUGUAUGUACUAACUGUAUAUUCACUUGUCUUAAGUGUCAAAACUAUAUAUAGCUAUUCAUGUAUGUCAAAUCAAAUAUCUAUAUUUUUUGAGGUGAUAACUUUACUGAAUCAUUCUCUUGAAUAACAUUAUGAAAUGUUAGAUUCAUGUUCAAAACUUGAAAGGAAUACACAGCAAAAUGAUGUUCUUCUCUGUAUUCAAUUGGAUUAAAGUGACUUUGAAAAAAAAGAUUUAUGUGUUACAAUUCAUAACAUGAGAUAAAUCAAUGAA